rnacentral:lncRNA from 1 species
GUAGGUGACACUCCCAUUCCUCUUUCAGUUUCCAGGUUCCUGGAGCUCACAACCAGAGACUCCAUUGAGAGUGAACGGUAAAGUUGUCCUGUGAGUAUACUAUGAACUCUAACCAUUUGAAGUCACUCACUAAAUAGUAAUAAUGUUUAGCUGGAUAUGGAGGCUCAUGCCUAGAAUCCUACACAAAGCUGAAGAAUCGCAUGAAUUUAAAGCUAGCUUGGGUUACAGAAUGAGACUUUGUUUAAAAACAAAACCAAAAACACCCAGGACCUAAUGAGCUGGCUUAGUGGGUAGGGGUGCUUGCUGCCAAGCCUGACAGUCUGAGGUCAGUCCCUGGAUCCUCAUGAUGGAAGGAGAGAAUGAACUUCUGCAAGUUGUCUUCUGGCCUUAAACACAUGUAUGUACACACAAAUGUAAUUAAACAGCAAGCAAACAAAAAUAGUGUUUGUCUGUUUUGAAACAGGAGUUCCUUGUGUGGCUCAAGUUAGCCUAGAAUUCUAAAGCUCCUGCCUCGUUCUCUUAAAUAAUGGUAAUGUUUUUAUUGAAACACUAGAAUCUGAUGAGUAUAGUAUAAAGCAACUACGAACAAAUUAGACUGAACAUUUUUCAGUAUAGCUUUCUCCAUUCCUGUCAGGCAGAUUAUCAGAAUCUUCUAUUAUUGAGAAGUUAGAAAGAAAAGAAGUUCCUCUGGUCCAGUCGGUUCAUUUUAAAGGUGGGGCUCUCCUGCCUUAGCCAGAAUCACAGAGUUUGUUGGUCCUGCAGUGCUACUUCUGUUGACUCAGCCUGCUAAUCAGAUGAUUGCUCCUGUCUCUGUAGAGUCCCUGCUGUUCUGUGGGGCAGCUCUUUCCCUGAAAUUUGUAAGCCCAAGAACCCUUACUUAAAGUGAAAGAGAAUGUGAAAGCCCUUGUUAAGGCAGAUAAAAGCAGCUUUGCUAGGGAAAGGACCUGAUCCCCUGCCUUUCCUGUACAGGAACCCACUUGCCCUGAUCAAAUGAGGUAGACUAACCUGGUGCAUCUAGCCAUUCCUCUCUCUUAUUAUUUAUUAAUCUCCUGCUAUGUACCAGGCACAGUGCUCAUUGCUAGGGAUAGAAUAGUGAACAAGAAGGAUGGCGGUGCUUUUGUUUUUACACACAGGUAAAAGUAUAUUUUCUCAAUAGUGGAGACAGACAGUAAACAUGUAAAUAAAAUGAAAUGACUACAGAAAGAGCCCUAGUUCUUCAUCUGGAAAAUAGUUGGUAGGAAGGAACCAAGAUAGGCAUCGGGUUAUAUAGAGGCCAGGAUUGGCCUCGGGACAGUUGUGUGGACUUAAGAAUGUGUUGAUUCUGUGUGCUUCUAAGUUUUAGGGAACCCUGGUCAGGGACAUCUUUUUGUACUUUCUUUUUUUUUAAAGUGGGUGACCAGAUUCUUUUUUUUUUUUUUUUAGAUUUAUUUAUUUAUUAUAUGUAAGUACACUGUAGCUGUCUUCAGACACACCAGAAGAGGGCAUCAGAUCUUGUUACCGAUGGUUGUGAGCCACCAUGUGGUUGCUGGGAUUUGAACUUUGGACCUUUGAGAGAGCAGUCGGGUACUCUUACCCACUGAGCCAUCUCACCAGCCCCUUUUUGUACUUUCUUAGUGGUAGUCUGAGUACCAGUGAGAAGCUGCCAGAAAAUUCCUGGCCCAAGAGGCAAGAGCUCUGACAGACUUUACUUGUGAUUUUUUUUUUCCCCCUACAAAAUGAAGAAAAUGAUGGAGUUCUUUAGCACCACCUUUCACAGGAAGCCAUCUUGUUGGCAUGUCACAGGAGGUUGAUAAUAACCCUCAUAAACAUGAAUACACACAUAACACAAGGUGACUGUGCUAUGAGGGGUCAGUGUUUACAUACAGUGUAUGUCACUGACUGACUGAUGGGUAGGGCUACCUGAUGCUUCCUGCCCUUAACUAGAGAGCAAGAUUUAUAACAGCUCACCCACAGCUUGGCAAAUAGUGAGCCUUAAGGUCUUGGUGAGUUGAUUCUUAAUGUAUAUGGAGCUAUGAAGCCAGUUCCUGGGCUCCGAGCUGCUUUCCAAGCAAACAGGAGCAUUCACUAACAAUAACUAACAAUAGGAACUCAGCAGUUGAAAUCAUACAAAUGGGCCUGCAGUGUCCUCACACCCAACACUGCUGUUCCUUUCCCAAAGGUGGAUUCAUUUUUUAUGAGUCCUGUAGACAUUCAAAUGUGUAUUCUCCUUUUGGUUUUCAAAAGGGAUUGUAUUACAUGCACUGUUGAACUUCCUUUUUGACUUGGCCUUGUAUAUCUUGGGAACUUGUUCCAGAUCAGGAAGUUUACAUACAUUUCGUAUUUCACUUUUCCCUUUAUUGUAUCAUUAAAAAAAAAUUAAAUGUAAGCUUUUGAAGAGGAAAUCAUGCACAUGACUCUGAAUUCAAAGGCAUUGAAAGGCUCAUAAUGAAAGUUUCCAUCAAGUCCACUAAUAAGCUGUCCCGUUCUCCCCCAGCCCUCAGGUUUCCAGUGAUGUCAGGUUCUUAUUUGUAAGCACACAAAGGCAACCAUGUUUUUAUGUAGAGAAUGCCAUUCUUUGUACACUGUUCAUUUUUCCUCUUCAUGUUUCUAAGAAGCUUACUCUUUGAAGGCACAUAUGAAGCUCACCUUGUAAACACUGGAGUCAAUUAUGUAACCAGCUCCUAGUAGUACAUUUACAUGGUUCAUAAUUUUUUUGCUACUAAGACCAGUGCUGCCGCUGGGUGUGGAGGUGCACACCUUUAAUCCCAGCACUUGGGAGGCAGAGGCAGACAGAUUUCUGAGUUCGAGGCCAGCCUGUUCUACAGAGUGAGUUCCAGGACAGCCAGGGCUACACAGAGAAACCCUGUCUCGAAAAACC